UGUGAUAACCCUGACAUUCUACAGGCAGUAAGGGAUGAGCAUUUUGCAAUCUUGCAGAAGAAACUGCAUGGAGAACGGAUCAACUGGGAUGACUACAAGAGCAUGAGGCAAACUCGUGCGGUAUUACUUGAGACAAUGAGAUUGGCUAGUGUUGUUAAUGGAGUGAUGAGGAGGACUACUAAAGAUAUAGAAUUGAAUGGUUAUAUGAUUCCCAAGGGAUGGAGGGUUUAUGUUUACACAAGGGAUG
rnacentral:sRNA from 1 species